CAAUACUGGGUGGCGAGUGGCGCACGGGUGCGUAACGCGUAUGCAACCUACCUCUAUCUGGGAGAUAGCCCGAAGAAAUUCAGAUUAAUACCCCAUAAUAUAUGUCUUUCGCAUGUUAGACAUAUUAAAGCUUUGGCGGAUAGAGAUGGGCAUGCGUGACAUUAGCUAGUCGGUAAGGUAACGGCUUAUCAAGGCUACGAUGUCUAGGGGGUCUGAGAGGAUUAUCCCCCACACUGGUACUGAGACACGGACCAGACUCC
rnacentral:rRNA from 1 species